UACGGAAGGUCCGGGCGUUAUCCGGAUUUAUUGGGUUUAAAGGGAGCGCAGGCGGAGAUGCAAGCGUGACGUCAAAUUUCGGGGCUCAACCCCGUCUCGCGUCGCGAACUGCGUCCCUUGGUUGCGGGAAGGGGAGGCGGAACUCGUGGUGUAGCGGUGAAAUGCAUAGAUAUCACGAAGAACUCCGAUCGCGAAGGCAGCUUUCUGGCCUGUAACCGACGUUGAGGCUCGAAGGUGUGGGGAGCAAACAGGAUUAGAUACCCUGGUAGUCAACGCCGUAAACGAGGAAUACUAGGUGUUGGGGUCCAUAAGGACUUCGGUGCCGUCGCAAACGCAAUAAGUAUUCCACCUGGGGAGUACGUUCGCAAGAAUGAAACUCAAAGGAAUUGACGGGG
rnacentral:rRNA from 1 species